rnacentral:rRNA from 1 species
UACGUAGGGUGCGAGCGGUAAUCGGAAUUACUGGGCGUAAAGCGUGCGUAGGCGGUUCCUCAAGUCCGUUGUGAAAGCCCCGGGCUCAACCUGGGAAUGGCAGUGGAAACUAGGGGACUGGAAUCUGGCAGAGGGGGGUGGAAUGCCGCGUGUAGCAGUGAAAUGCGUAGAGAUGCGGCGGAACACCGAUGGCGAAGGCAGCCCCCUGGGCUGAGAUUGACGCUCAGGCACGAAAGCGUGGGGAGCAAACAGG